rnacentral:tRNA from 1 species
GGGAAUGUGGCUCAGUGGUAGAGUGCUUGUCUAGCAAGAAGCCCUGGGUUCCAUUCCUAGUACCA